rnacentral:rRNA from 1 species
GCGGCCGUAACUAUAACGGUCCUAAGGUAGCGAAAUUCCUUGUCGGGUAAGUUCCGACCUGCACGAAUGGCGUAAUGAUGGCCACGCUGUCUCCACCCGAGACUCAGUGAAAUUGAAAUCGCUGUGAAGAUGCAGUGUACCCGCGGCUAGACGGAAAGACCCCGUGAACCUUUACUACAGCUUGGCACUGAACAUUGACCCUACAUGUGUAGGAUAGGUGGGAGGCUUUGAAGCACGUACGCCAGUAUGUGUGGAGCCGUCCUUGAAAUACCACCCUUGUAGUGUU